UUGAGUUGGGCGGUGCUGGU
rnacentral:miRNA from 1 species